rnacentral:lncRNA from 1 species
CGAGCCGUUCUCGGGGCAGCCAGCAUCCUCUGGGCAGCUCUCUGAGCCGCUGCCCUGCGGGCAUCUGAUGGAAGAGGCGCGGCAGAGGCAGCCCCGGGUGGUUCUCACCCGCCUGGCACUGCCGACCCCCCUGGCUGCCCCCGCACCUCUGUUGCCCCGCACUGCACAUCUGACCAAAGAUGUGCAGCGGAGGCAGCCCCGGGUGCUUCUCACCCGCCUGGCACUGCCACCCGGCUGCAUCUCCUGCCAUGUGCCCCACAACCACCGCGGGGACGUCUGCGAGCCGGCCGAGUGCCCAACGCCCGCCUGCACCACCAGGAAAGGCAAGAGCAGAGGGCACGAGCAGCGCACUGGCCGCAUCCCAAGCAGAAAGAGGAAGGUGCCGCUGGGCCAGGACGCUCCAGGACAGAAACGCCGGCGCUAGGCGAAGCUGGGUGGGCUCAGCCCGAGCAGGAGCGUCCGCAGAAACCGGCCCACGUGGUGCAGCAGGAGACACGGCCAUAGCCAACAAAGACGGCUCCCUGCAGCCCUGGGCUCCUCGCCGGCCCCCGCGGCGCACAGAGAGCAGCGGCAGUGCUCCAGGGGCACCAGCACCGGCCCCAGCC